GAAGAACCUUACCAAGACUUGACAUCCCGCUGACCGCUCUAGAGAUAGAGUUUCCCUUCGGGGCAGCGGUGACAGGUGGUGCAUGGUUGUCGUCAGCUCGUGUCGUGAGAUGUUGGGUUAAGUCCCGCAACGAGCGCAACCCUUACAUUGUGUUGCCAUCAUUUGGUUGGGCACUCACAAUGGACUGCCGGUGACAAACCGGAGGAAGGCGGGGAUGACGUCAAAUCAUCAUGCCCCUUAUGUCUUGGGCUACACACGUGCUACAAUGGGCGGUACAAAGGGAUGCGAAACCGCGAGGUGGAGCCAAUCUCAUAAAGCCGUUCGUAGUUC
rnacentral:rRNA from 1 species